rnacentral:rRNA from 1 species
GGAUGAUCAGCCACACUGGAACUGAGACACGGUCCAGACUCCUACGGGAGGCAGCAGUCGGGAAUAUUGGGCAAUGGGCGAAAGCCUGACCCAGCAACGCCGCGUGAAGGAUGAAGGCCUUCGGGUCGUAAACUUCUGUCGAGAGGGAAGAAUGCGUGCGGGUGAAUAAUCCGUACGUUUGACGGUACCUCCAAAGGAAGCACCGGCUAACUCCGUGCCAGCAGCCGCGGUAAUACGGAGGUGCAAGCGUUGUUCGGAUUUAUUGGGCGUAAAGCGAGUGUAGGCGGUUUGAAAAGUCGGGUGUGAAAUCCCAGGGCCCAACCCUGGAACUGCAUCCGAUACUGUCAGGCUAGAGUCCCGGAGAGGGUGGCGGAAUUCCCGGUGUAGGGGUGAAAUCCGUAGAUAUCGGGAGGAACACCAGUGGCGAAGGCGGCCACCUGGACGGUGACUGACGCUGAGACUCGAAAGUGUGGGUAGCAAACAGGAUUAGAUACCCUGGUAGUCCACACCGUAAACGGUGAGAGCUCGUCGUAGUGGGUAUUGACCCCUGCUGUGACCAAGUUAACGCAUGAAGCUCUCCGCCUGGGAAGUACGGUCGCAAGACUAAAACUCAAAGAAAUUGACGGGGGCCCGCACAAGCGGUGGAGCAUGUUGUUUAAUUCGAAGCAACGCGCGGAACCUUACCUGGAUUUGACAUCUCCGGAAUCUCUCUGAAAGGAGAGAGUGCCUUCGGGAACCGGAUGACAGGUGCUGCAUGGCUGUCGUCAGCUCGUGUCGUGAGGUGUUGGGUUAAGUCCCGCAACGAGCGCAACCCCUAUCGUUAGUUGCUAGCAGUUCGGCUGAGCACUCUAGCGAGACUGCCGGUGUUAAACCGGAGGAAGGUGGGGACGACGUCAAGUCCUCAUGGCCUUUAUGUCCAGGGCUACUAACGUGCUACAAUGGGCGGUACAGACGGUCGCGAACCUGCGAAGGUAAGCCAAUCCUACAAAGCCGGCCUCAGUUCGGAUUGGAGUCUGCAAUUCGACUCCAUGAAGGCGGAAUCGCUAGUAAUCGCAGAUCAGCAUGCUGCGGUGAAUACGUUCCCGGGCCUUGUACACACCGCCCGUCACACCACGAAAGCUGGUUGAACCAGAAGUCGAUGACCCAACCUUCGGGAGGGAAUCGCCCAAGGUAUGACUGGUGAUUGGGGUGAAGUCGUAACAAGGUA